rnacentral:tRNA from 2 species
GCGGAAGUGGCGGAAUGGUAUACGCGUACGUCUCAGAAGCGUAUGGGGAAACCCGUGAGAGUUCAAGUCUCUCCUUCCGCA